rnacentral:lncRNA from 1 species
CCGGCCUCCAGCCAGAGCCCUGCUGAGAUGCCGCUGGAGAAGCGGAUCAGAAGGCACGGCCAGGACUCGUUCACACCACCCGCAAGUUCUUCCUUUGCCAUCUCGAAGUUAUAUUCCAGAUCCGCGCCCUUCUCCGUCUCCAGCACUGCCAGUCUGGACCCAGCCGAGCUCCCCGCUGCCCCAUCCACCACAGCCUCUAGCUAUAGUCUCCCUGUUUCCUAUUGUCCCGGCUCUGAUGUACUCUCCGUGUGACCCUGGAUCCGGAAGCUGAGGCCGGAGAGAUGAAGUCACGCAGCCAGUGAGGGGCCCAGAGGAGAUCUGACUUCAUCUCUUCAUAAUUUCCACAUCAGCUCUGUGCUGGAGCGAAAGAACACACCCACGUGGGAAUGACUUCACGCUCCAGAAAGAACGCUACAAAUUGGUUGAGAGGCGUAGAAGAGGAAUUUUCCUCCUAAAGGCUGCAGGAAUCCACUGGCGGGAUAGAAACGUGAUUAGAAGACGAGCUUGGGAAGGGGGCCUUCAAAUCGUGCCUGCAGCAUCUGAGGGUCUCGUCAGGGAAUAAGGAACUGCCUGUCUGAUGUUUCCAAGCAGCACAAACUUCUUCCCCACAGCUGUGAAACUUAUGCAACAGAAACGAAACGGUGACAUGGCUGUCAUGGCAACCAUCUUGUGACUCUGAGGCCCCAAACCUUAGAAGAGCCACUCUGAUGAGGACAGAAGGGUCAAGGCGCCUUGGUCCUUGAGGAUGUCACCAAGUCCUGAACCAGCCAGAGGAGCCAACGUCCCCUGGACCUCUUGUGAAAUAAACCACGUCCUUAUGUUUGAACCAUCAGCAGCCCAUUCUUCUCCUCCUUGCAGCCAAAUGCCUCUGAAUGCAUUCAGCUGUCAAUCCAUGAAUUGAAUAAAUAAAUGCCAGCCCUGCCUGGGCACUUCCCAUAUGCCAACUUGGGCAUCUCUGCGACAGCCUUGUGACGUGGGUCCUGGUGCUCUCCCAGCCCACAGAUGAGGAAAGCCAGGCACCGAGAGCCUAAGGAAUUUAUGAAAAGUCGUAUCAUCUCUCAUUGGGGAAGGGAUGGCGGGGGAGAAAGACCCCAGGAAUGUGAGGGAGGGACAGAAUGUGGAAGAGAUGGGCGUGGGCUGGGGGUGGGCUCCGUCCACAACACGGAGAUGCUGGACAGUCUUUCCGGUAGGGGGGGCUGAUUCCAGGGUGACGCCUGGGAGCCCUGUGUGUGUGAAACGAGUCUCUGAUGUCGCAGCGAACCUUUCUUGGCACAGCUGGGAAGGGGCUAGC